AGCGAACGCUGGCGGCAGGCCUAACACAUGCGAGUCGAACGAAGUCUUCGGACUUAGUGGCGGACGGGUGAGUAACACGUGGGAACGUGCCUUUAGGUUCGGAAUAACUCAGGGAAACUUGUGCUAAUACCGAAUGUGCCCUUCGGGGGAAAGAUUUAUCGCCUUUAGAGCGGCCCGCGUCUGAUUAGCUAGUUGGUGAGGUAAAGGCUCACCAAGGCUACGAUCAGUAGCUGGUCUGAGAGGAUGACCAGCCACAUUGGGACUGAGACACGGCCCAAACUCCUACGGGAGGCAGCAGUGGGGAAUCUUGCGCAAUGGGCGAAAGCCUGACGCAGCCAUGCCGCGUGGAUGAUGAAGGUCUUAGGAUUGUAAAGUCCUUUCACCGGUGAAGAUAAUGACUGUAGCCGGAGAAGAAGCCCCGGCUAACUUCGUGCCAGCAGCCGCAGUAACAC
rnacentral:rRNA from 1 species